GAUUGUAACUUGAAUUUCAUUUUUCCACACAUGCCCUUUUUAUCUAGUUUUUUGUUACAGAAAGUACUGUUUUUUCAAGCUCCUAUCUAUGACAUAUUUACAACCAUGUCUAUAAUAAUGUCCCAAGGGUUUAAAAAUUUUCCAAUCAACAAAAAUGAAGGUAGAAGAAUCAUGGAAAUAGACAAAAAUAAAUUUUUUUAUUAAGAACUAGAACGAA
rnacentral:lncRNA from 1 species